CUAGUUUAAGGCCUCGGCAUUAAUUCAUAAAUAGAUAAGAUUCUGUGUCAUUAUUUGGGAACUGGGGCCGAUAUAGGAAGGCCAAGCUAUAACAACUGUAUGUGCUGUGAUUGGCAGAGCUGGAGAGGAGGAGCUACCCAAGUCCUUUGGAACCUGGAAAAUUGUGAGUCUCAGAGGAACGACAAUAAGAGAGUGGGAUGAUCGAUGAUUUUAUGAAGUAAAUGUUAUUUCAUAUAGAUCUUGGAAACAGAUGCUUUGCCUCCAUUACACCCAGCGAAAACAGUGGUGGGAGGUAUGAGGACAGCAUCCGCAACUGUGACCAAACAGCUACUGUGCUCUCGGAAGACUGAAAUUCUAAUCUAUGCUACAACGGGCCUUUAAGUUCAACACAGAUGAUGUUCUUAUAAGAAGGAAGAUAACUGGGCACAGAAACAGG
rnacentral:lncRNA from 1 species